GCGCGCGCUACCAGAUGCUGGCGCAGGAGCUCGCUCGCACCGAGCUUCGUCCGGCCUCUCUCGACGACGACCCGUUCCGUGCAGCCCCCGCGCUC
rnacentral:tRNA from 1 species